GUCAGCGGAUUUGUUCUGGCGACUUGCCAGAAACAAAAAUUGUUAAGCAGACAAGCGCCCUUUGACAUCCCGUUUCGCGUUGGCUUUUUAUCAAAUCAGGACUUGAUUUGAUUAGACCCCGAACGGAAUGAUAAAUUAUUGCCUGGCUGAAUUGGCCAGCUGCUGGUGUCCUCUGACGACUUAAUGCGUGUCGUCUGCCAAACGAUUUGGAAAAAUUGAUUGUGUCCACACUCACAAUCAAUUGCCAAAGGAAACUCGGCAGCAGAACGGCCAAGCAAUAAACAAUUCCACAUCUAAAAGGGUCUGGGUUGAGUUUGGGGACGGACGCCGUUCACAAAACUACAGACAACAAAACAUGGCAAAAUAAUUGAACGUUCUUUUUUAUUUUGGCAAGUACAAAUACCAAGCCACAAAAGUGGAUUUUACUUACAGCAAGCGGCUGAUAAUGCAGAUGGAAAAACAAAGCCACAAAACCACUCUAUUCCAGUCCAGUGCUCCUGGUUGCCAAGGCAAUCUAAAAAUGCCUUUGCAUUCAAUGCUUUUCCGCAUCGGCCAGCUAAUAUUUUCCUAUAAUUUAUAUGGUCGCCCAGGGAAAACAUCCAGCAAACAACAACAACAGCAAAUAAAGCGACCAAUGAAAUUGUAAAGUGUCCUGUCAUCGCCACUCCAGGAGAUCCCACAACUGGCCAAAGCCCACUCAAGUGAGUCAAACACCUAGCAGCUCAAGUAAUUAGCAAUUUGUAUGGCUUUCGGCCGACGCCAUUUAUUUUGCGAAGAGCUCACAAAACUCCCGACUUGGCCAUAAAAGUUCAACACCGUUUGAGCACCUCAGCACAGCCCGCCAAGCAUAAUGAAUGUAACCUAACCAUGAUUUAUGCCAUUACGGAGCUCAUAAAUCUCUGGGUCAGCCAGGAAGUGGAGGGAAGGCGUGAUCGAAGACCAGCCACAAAUACCCUAAGUUGGUAUUAUCAAAAAUAAAUAUCACUUGUUCAUUUAAAGCCAAGAAGUUCAUUUUCUGAACAAAGGUUUACACUUUUUUACCUUAUUUAUAUAACAUAUUUAAGACAUUUGAGCUCAUAUCUGCGUGUGGUUGGGUUUUGGUAGUUCAGCACUAGAAAACCCCCUCAAAACGACGUGACUAACCGACCUGAAGCGGAGGAGUCUCCAGAUACAACUCUCCGUCCGGGAAAUUUCACAUAAUUACGUGCACCAGCCGGACUUUUGGGCUGGGAAAAUAGGUGCGAUGGUGGAUCCCGACACUUUGACCUUUCGGCCACAAUAUGCGCUCGUUAGUCAAUGCUUAGCAAUUUGUUAUCAAUCAAUAAUAAAUGUAAAUAACAUAAUAAUGAGAACACAGGCGUUGGACCCACUCCCCCGAAGAUGAUGAGGCAUCAGGGCAUGGGCUCAAAUGGCCUGUGGAAAGAAAAGGAAUUUGGCCUAAAUGAGUUAUUGCCCGCAUAAACAAAAACGGAAGUGCGAAAGCGCCCACGGAGGCAUGCGAUAUUAUAUUUUUUCCGCCCCAUCACGGCAGCUGUUUUCCGAAUAGACAACUCCGCCAAUUGAGCGAAUCAAUGGCCGUCCAGUCAGUCUUGAAAAUACAAAGAUACAAAAA